CUCCGGCACUGUCAGGUAUCGGUCUGAUCAGAAAAAUCUCCGCCGACAUUAAAGCUUAGACAACAGGAUCGAGUAGUGUGCUGCCAUCAAAAAUAGUGGGGUAACAGCAUCCUGCAAGAAAUCAUAUAAUAAAAAUGUAGGUGUCAGUCCAAGGAAAUUCGAUUUAUCAAAUAUUUCAAGCAUAGAACCAGUUUGAGAACUUCACCUGGGGUGGUAAUGAGGAGUGGCCUAGGAGACGUCACUUGGUUAUGAAGAAAUGGCAUAAUGAGUGUGGAUCCAGAGUUGUGAGAGCUAUAUCCAACCAGGAUGUGCUAGCAGAAGCUUUUCUAUGCUUUGGUGCUAGUUCUAUGACAUGGAUGGAUUUAAGCUCCUAGAGUUUGUGGGACUUG